GAUGAACGCUGGCGGCGUGCCUAAUACAUGCAAGUCGAGCGAACAGACGAGGAGCUUGCUCCUCUGACGUUAGCGGCGGACGGGUGGGUAACACGUGGAUAACCUACCUAUAAGACUGGGAUAACUUCGGGAAACCGGAGCUAAUACCGGAUAAUAUAUUGAACCGCAUGGUUCAAUAGUGAAAGACGGUUUUGCUGUCACUUAUAGAUGGAUCCGCGCCGCAUUAGCUAGUUGGUAAGGUAACGGCUUACCAAGGCAACGAUGCGUAGCCGACCUGAGAGGGUGAUCGGCCACACUGGAACUGAGACACGGUCCAGACUCCUACGGGAGGCAGCAGUAGGGAAUCUUCCGCACUGGGCGAAAGCUUGACGGAGCAACGCCGCGUGAGUGAUGAAGGUCUUCGGAUCGUAAAACUCUGUUAUUAGGGAAGAACAAAUGUGUAAGUAACUAUGCACGUCUUGACGGUACCUAAUCAGAAAGCCACGGCUAACUACGUG
rnacentral:rRNA from 1 species